rnacentral:rRNA from 1 species
UACGGGGGGGGCAAGCGUUGUUCGGAAUUACUGGGCGUAAAGGGCUCGUAGGCGGCCAACUAAGUCGGAUGUGAAAUCCCCAGGCUUAACCUGGGAACUGCAUCCGAUACUGGAUGGCUUGAAUCCGGGAGAGGGAUGCAGAAUUCCAGGUGUAGCGGUGAAAUGCGUAGAUAUCAGGAGGAACACCGGUGGCGAAGGCGGAUCUCUGGGCCGAUACUGACGCUGAGCAGCGAAAGCGUGGGGAGCGAACAGG